GCCCUCAAGGUGCUGCAGGAGGAGUACCGGAAGCUGGGACCCUUGUCCUUCGCGGAGAUCAACGUGCUGAUCUGCUUCUUCCUGCUGGUCGUCCUGUGGUUCUCCCGAGACCCCGGCUUCAUGCCUGGCUGGCUGACUGUCGCCUGGGUGGAGGGUGAGACAAAGUAUGUCUCCGAUGCCACUGUGGCCAUCUUUGUGGCCACGCUGCUAUUCAUUGUGCCUUCACAGAAGCCCAAGUUUAACUUCUGCAGCCAGACUGAGGAAGAAAGGAAAACUCCAUUUUUUCCCCCUCCUCUGCUGGAUUGGAAGGUAACCCAGGAGAAAGUGCCCUGGGGCAUCGUGCUGCUACUAGGGGGCGGAUUUGCUCUGGCUAAAGGAUCCGAGGCCUCGGGGCUGUCCGUGUGGAUGGGGAAGCAGAUGGAGCCCUUGCAUGCAGUGCCCCCGGCAGCCAUCACCUUGAUCUUGUCCUUGCUCGUUGCCGUGUUCACUGAGUGCACAAGCAACGUGGCCACCACCACCUUGUUCCUGCCCAUCUUUGCCUCCAUGACGUCCAGCUUCAGGGUAGUAUGGAAAGAUCCCUGGUCUCGCAGUCAGAAGACCCGAGUUCAAGAUGUGGG
rnacentral:sRNA from 1 species